CCUACGGGAGGCUGCAGUAAGGAAUAUUGGUCAAUGGACGCAAGUCUGAACCAGCCAUGCCGCGUGGAGGAUGAAGGUCCUCUGGAUUGUAAACUUCUUUUAUUUGGGACGAAACUCCCGAUUUCCAUCGGGAUUGACGGUACCAGAUGAAUAAGCACCGGCUAACUCCGUGCCAGCAGCCGCGGUAAUACGGAGGGUGCAAGCGUUAUCCGGAUUCAGGGUGUUUAAAGGGUCAGUUGGGGGAGUGGUAAAAUCUCCGGGCUUAACCCGGAAACUGCCAUUGAUACUAUUUGGCUUGAAUACGCUUGAGGUGAGCGGAAUAUGUCAUGUAGCGGUGAAAUGCUUAGAUAUGACAUAGAACACCCAUUGCGAAGGCAGCUCACUACGGAAAUAUUGACGCUGAGGCACGAAAGCGUGGGGAUCAAACAGGAUUAGAUACCCGAGUAGUC
rnacentral:rRNA from 1 species